ACUGUGAGUCAUCAGGCAAAACCCAGAGUCAGUGUGGGAAGCGACUGACCAACAGCAAGGACACAGGAGCUCAUGUAGCUUGAACUUGCUAUGAAGCUACGAAGGAUGACCUUGAACUCCAGUUCGAGAAGGGUGAUCUUUUUACCCCAGUGUUUGGCUUGCAGGCAGCAGCCUAUGUCUGAGCCCGGGGAUCAUUCUUCUGCUUGGUGUAGCCUAUCACUGAGGUUUGACGGAGGCUAUUAUUAACUCUCCAGGCUUCUGUGAGGCUCCUUUGAAGAAGCUCUGGCUCUGUUGAAUCAUGAGGUUGUGUCUGGAAGCAUCUUCCUGUUCCCAGGUCCCCUGCAAGCCUCAAAAUGAAACAGAGAAGGUCCCGGGCCCUUUGUCUCUGCAGUAUUUGUCUCUGAGGCAGCAAGCAGCUCUCCUGCAAACAGUUGGCCCUGGAGGGCUGGAUGGAUGGCGUGGCUGGUGCUGAAGAGGCAGAUGGCUUGGUUCAUUAGGAGCAGGCCAUAUGUCCAUCAGAUGGGCAU
rnacentral:lncRNA from 1 species